UUUUGUGUUGUUAACAAUUAAACCAGCGGUCGGCAACCUUUUGGCAGGCAAGGGCCACAACGUGGCAAAACAAA